GGAUAUAGCUCAAUGGUAGAGCACCUGCCUAGUGUGCAUGAGGCUCUGGGUUCAAUCCCUGGAACCA
rnacentral:tRNA from 1 species